rnacentral:rRNA from 1 species
AUGAACAUCUUGGCCUGGAAUUGUCGAGGCUUGGGGUUGGACUCGACAGUGGGCGAAUUGCGGGACCUGAUUAGGUCAUACAACCCAGCGGUGGUGUUCUUAAGCAAAACAAAGAAAAAAGCUCGAGCAAUGGAGAGAUUCAAAUGGAUUUUGGGCUUCAAAUGUGGUGUGGCAGUGGAUUGUCGCGGAAGCAAUGGGGGGCUGGAUCUUUGGUGGAGGGAACAUGUUCAAGUUACGGUGAGACCAUGGUCCUAG